rnacentral:rRNA from 1 species
UACGAAGGGGGCUAGCGUUGUUCGGAAUUACUGGGCGUAAAGCGCACGUAGGCGGAUACUUAAGUCAGGGGGUGAAAUCCCGGGGCUCAACCCCCGGAACUGCCUUUGAUACUGGGUAUCUCGAGUCCGGAAGAGGUGAGUGGAAUUCCGAGUGUAGAGGUGAAAAUUCGUAGAUAUUCGGAAGAACACCAGUGGCGAAGGCGACUAACUGGACAUGUAUUGACGCUGAGGUGCGAAAGCGUGGGGAGCAACAGG